UGUUGAUCUAGUUUUAUUUUUAUUUGAAAAGAAAAUACUUGAUAUUGUUUGCUUUUCAUUUUACAUAUAAUUCACAUUUCCACUGUGAGACUUAUUUUCACUUUUUAAAUUAUCUAUUUUACAAUACAAAAAAAAGAAAAGAAAAAAAAAGACAAACAAAAUAAACCAUUCCCCCCCAAAAAAUUGCAGGUUCAAUAUUACGAAUGCUUUCCCCCAAGCCCGAAAUCCAGUAUCAGAGAAAAUGUUUACAAUACUUAAAUAUAUACAAAUGAGUGCAAUCAAUGCUUAAUUAUUCCUAUUAAAUUGUUUUAGGUUGAAACACUGAUGAAUAUCAUAAAUGUGGCAGAAAAUGAGUAAUUUAGAAGCUUGCUAAAUAUGAAAUAUAUAUUUUCUAAUUCCGAAAUCCGAAUUCACCUUUUUAAGCCAAGACAACGAUAAAAUCAUUUUUGAUGAUCUGCUAGAGUGCAGGAAACUUGGAAGACAAAUAUAUCUCUACAUUGAUAUGUAACGAAACAAAUAUAUUUCAUAGCAGACGUGUAUGAAAUUAGCAAUAUAAAAUAUAAACUUCAAUUUUUUUAUUAAAAGAAAAUGAUCAUUAUUACAGAAAAAGAAAGCAUUUUGUGUAAGAUAACAUCAUUAUGCAUUAUUUUGGAAAGAAUAUAUUUAGGUUAAUUCAGGGUCAGUGCAUUUCCUGGAUUAUCCUUACUAUGUGUAGGCCGCUACUCUUUUAAUCUUUAUGGACAGAAGCACCACUUAUCCACUAAAACCAGAAUUUAAAGGUCUGAACCAACCUCAGAAUGCAUUUUAAGAUGUCCCUUUAAUUUAAAGGUCUGAACCAAUCUCAGAAUGCAUUUUAAGACGUCCCUGUAUUUUCUUGUGAUUUUAAGAUUUAUAAAACACACACUCUAGCUCUAAUUUAGCUGCAUAACCAAAGAGGCUUAGAGAUGGCUGAAAAUAAAACAGACUAUUUUACAGAUAAUCUGUUAUGUUAAAUAAUAAUAAUGAUGAUCAUCACAGUCUAAGUAGCUCAGCUGCAAUUGGUGACUGUAUUUAACAGGUCAACAAUACUUGUAGAGGGUAGAUGAUACCCAUUGUACAGUGCUAUGGAAUUUGCUGGCGCUGUAUAAAUAAUAAAAUAUUAAUAAUAAUGAAAAUACGCAAUUUUGAAUAUUUUUGAAUGUUGGCAGUCUUUCACCAAAUUAAAAAGCAGUAAUUAAAUGGCAUACAAAAACAUCAAUUGGAAUGAUUUUAUUUUUUGAAGGCCUGUAAGGAGCAUAUUAAAAGACUUUCCCCCCCCCCCUGUUUCUUAAUACAAUAAUAUAAAAAGCAAAUCCUGGUAAUAGGUUAAAACUACCAUUGGGGCCUCAUGACAACAUACAGAAAAUGGUUAUAAUACACUGUGAAAAAUUUAGCUUACAGUCAAAUUUCUAUUUUUUUUUUUUUUUACGAGCCAUUAAAACAUUGAACUAGCGGUGCUACAGUUUUUUCAUUGGUUAAUUGCUUUUAGAAUUUUUAUUUAAAAAAAAAAAUUGCUUUAAAGUCUCAUACACAAUUUAACAAACAAUAUGCUUUCUACAUAGAGAGUUAUCUAAACAAAAUUAAUAAUGCAGUUAGGAUUAAAAAAAAAAACUAAAUCUGAAUGAAUUCCCAAAGUGUUUUUUUUUUCAUCUUUUAUUCAAAAAUAUUGAGAUUUUAAUCUGUUGCAGUUGGAUAUACAGAGUUUGCGUGCAAAUUUUUUUUAACUAAAAUCUUAGAAACUUGGAAUAUACUAGUUUCUAAAUAAACGGGAAAGAUGUGAAAUUUAUAUUGGCAUCAAAUCCACUAAAUCAGACAAUUCAAACAUAGAAUUGUAAAUACAAUUUCUGUAUGCAUAUUUUUUUUUUUAUAAAAUUAGCUUAAACUAUGGGUUUAUAAUUUCUAUAAAACUUUGUUAUACAAAAGUCUGUUUCGAAUUUAAAAUAGUUUUUUUUUUAAAUUUUGCUUUAUCCUUAUAAUUUAUGAGAAAAAUAUUUUAUACACCAAUAAGAAUUAUAUAGAAAUAUUACGUUAACUUCCCAAAUUGAAGGUCUUUUAUGGUCAGAACUUACAGAUAAACUAACUUUAAAGUUACGUAAUUCAUACAGAGUUUACAGAUGUCUUCUAAUUAACUUUUUUUUUUUCAAGAUCACUAUCUGGCAUAUUUUGUGCUGGCUAUUUUUGACUAUAUUGAUUCACUGUUUAACGAAUAAAGCAUUUAAAACUAUUAGAUGGAACUGCAAGCAUAUAUACUUCUCUGUAGACACUGAAACUAUUUUUGUUAUCACUACUAUGAGUUUUAAAAAUAUAUACUUUUUAUAUCAUAGAAGCCCAUGUAUUAAAUCUUAACUUUGAUAAAUUAUAUUUGUCUCGCUUGUGUGAUAUUUUUGUGAUAGAAAUAUAUGAACAUUUUACUACUGAAAAUAAAUAUUGAAAUUGACCCAUUUAAAAUUCUCUGUACAUGGAUCGCUUAAAAGCUUUAAGAAGAAUUGAUUAACUGGUAUAAAAACAUAAUUACUUAAUCUUUGUGAUACAUGAUCAAAAUGAUGUAAAGUUCCAAAGCAGUGAAGGUUAAUGAUAUAUCUGGACAUUUUUUAUGUGGCCCCUUCAGGCAAAUAUAGAACCAAGUUUAAAGGACCAGUCUGGAGUAAUUGAACAGAAGUCCAUUGAUUGGCAGAGAUUUAUUAAAGCGCUAAUAUGUACAGAAUGAUAAAGCUCUAAUUACAACUAAAAACAGCCAAAAGGAAAAAUAUUACUGAAAAUGUAAAAUCAGAGAGAAAAAGGUUGUGUAAAUUAGAACGAACACACACACUCUGAAUGGAAAUAAACAAAAAAAAAACUAAAGUAUUUUAAAUGUAGAGCAAUGUGUUCAGACAUUGUUGUUUUUUUACUCUUUCGUAAAGUCAAUAUCUUGUGCAGGACAUCCCCCAGGAAGGGGAGUAGGUGAUAACGAACAAAUGAGAAUACAUGUAUUACAGCUAUGAAAUUAGAAUGAUGUGUAUAUAUAACUCCUAAACUGGCAACCUUAAUUUAGGGCUACUGAUGUGGGCAUAAUGGAAAGGUUCAUUAGCUACAUUUUUCUGGUGUCUUAGCAACAUUCAGAGGUUUAUUUGUGUCCGUGGGUAAAUUGUUUAAAAUUAGAGCAUUCUAUCUUUAUGGAGCGUGUGAUAAACACAACUGUGGCACACUAUUGGUUAGCCUAUAACAUAGAGGUGAGACAGGAGCAGUGAUAAACCAAAAUAAAAUAUGGGGGUGAAAAAUAAACAAAAAUGAAAAACACAAAUAAUUACAAUUAAAUUUGGAAUCAAAAUCCCAGAAACUGCUAAAACUAGCAAAACGAAGAGGGGGAGAGGAGGAAAGCAAUCCGAUGUUUAACCCCUUCUCUCCCAACCUUCAAUUGAACCCAAUAAUCAUCACUUCCCCUUUGCUCCAGUUUUUAAUCAUACUACUUGUAUGUGACAUAAAAUGCUAUUUCUGUGUCCAUAAAUAUUUCAGAAGCACUCCAAAUACUGUAAUCACAAGAUAAGGGAUACAAUAUAAUCUAUGAAUUUUCCCCCUCAAAUACUUCUAGCUAGCAGAUAAACAAACUAGAAAUAGCACAGCAUAGAUUUAGCAUUUGGCGAAUUUAUAUUCUAUAUAAAUUGGUCAAGUUAUGUAAAAUGUAUAUAUAAUUUUUUUUCUAUGCCCGCACUGCAUUCUGUAAACAAAAUUGCUGUUUUGACCAACAUUUGUGUGCUAAUGAUUCAUAACAGAAUGUCUAAGGUUUAAUAAAAACACACAAAAAAAAUAGAUGCCAGAAUCAAAACAAGAGUUUAAGAAAUGUAUUUUUGCUUGACGCCUCUAUAACUAACUAGAACUGUAUGUGGCAGCUGUAUUUUUAACAUUUGGCAUUUGACACAAAUAAAACAAACAAACAAAAAAAAUGUUGCUGCAAAUUGCUACCUUCUUUAAAGCACUCGUAUAAAGGGAACACACAAAACAAACAAUAGAAAAUACUUACUGCUUUAUGCGUUCGAUUAGAGAGAUAUUCACUUCCAGAAUUAUAUGGUACGAACAUGUAAAUAAAAACAUGCACACCAAAAAAAAACCUCACAACGGCGUUAUUUAAAAGUAAAGUUAUUUUGACAAAUUAUUUCCUCCCUAUUUUAUCAAUUCUCUAAAGAACCCCAGAUUCAUUUGAUAAAGAUGAAAGUGAAUGUUCAAUACUGUGCAGCAGUGAUUAGUAAUCUUUGACACUGCACUUUUUUCUAGAUUACUAUUCUCAACACGCUCAGUCGGCAGUGCCGUAGGCCAGCCAUCACAACUCUGUAUUAUAAACGGUGUGUACAGAAGUUAUUCACUAAUGUGAGAAUUCAAAGUGAAUUUUAUACCCGACAAAGAUUUUCUUUAUUUAAUUUUUUUCAGUUCAGCUAUUUUGCUCUUAAAUUUUAAAUUGACUUUGAAUUCUUAUUUUAGUGAAUAACCCUGUAUGAAGCUGUGAUGAUGGCUUGAUAAAGACACUUAAUGUGUCGAAACGUUGUCCGUUCAAAAUAAUUCAAGAAGAUCAUUAUUGGGCACGCCGAUCAGCUAUCAGUGUUUCUUCAGCCUCCUUACACGCCUUUUAUCCACCCAUCUCAAUUUCAGAACAGUGAUAUGUCAUUGUGCAGCAGCAGAAGAGAGAAACCUGACACCGGAGCCUGCUCUGCAUGAUCACACUGAUCAGACUCCAUUUCUUUUCCCUCUGUCAGAUGUUGCAACGUGAAACGAUCUAACUGCACAUGUGUAAAUCUGUCAGAAUGCCCAAUGCACUUUUCCAGCAUUCCUAGGGAUAGGACACUGAUUGGUUAGAUCACAGUCCACCCCUGGAGUGAGUGUGAAAAGCAUGACUUUUGUUUCAACCUGCAGAGUGAGGCAACUAAAAGCAUGCUGAAGUGUUUGAGAUAAUUGUCUUAAAGUGAUGCACGUGCCCUCUAAGGAAACCCUUACUGUAGACCGAAUAUAAAAAAAUAAAAAUAACGUAUAGUAAAUAAUAUAUAAUUGUGUGUUCAGGUGAAAUACCAUCUUGAUGUUGUUACUUCCAAAUAAUGCAUUCCAUUUUUUCCCCAGUUCUUCUAUACAGAUCUUAACUUUGAAACUCACUUUGGUAAAUACCACUAUAUGUUGGCAUUGUAAUACUGAAGGAUCAAGGCCAAAUAUAGGUUCUAAAUUACUUGAGUGGGCACAGCCAACUUCUAAACCACAGAGGUUCUCCUUUACUGCCUGUAGUCUUUACCCUCAUCCAACUUUGUAGUUAAGAUGCUUAUUUUUGAAAAGUAAUGAAAUUCUAUCAGCGGUUUUUCAUGAGUCUAUCAAGAUAAUUACGGUUUCAAAGCUCAGUGUAUAGAUUCCUAACUUUACACUUUUUCUAGAAAUGGAAUUCUCAGGAGUUACAGCAUCUGAAGCCGAACACAGACUUGAAGCCAGCAUCUAUUGCUGGCCUAUAUUCAAACUAUAAGCAAGAUGUAGGGGAAUGUAUUAGAGACUCCCAGUCAGACAUAAGGGAGAAGUCUAAUUUACUAAUCUGGUGGAAUGUGUGUCAUGUUGACUGGAGAAUGAUGCUGGUCACAGGUAAAAUGGGAUGUGACAAACAAAUACUAUGUAGAAGCUACAAUGUAACAAAACAAGUUUCCUUCUUUCCCUUCGUUUUAAUCAUACAAUGGUUUAUAAAAGCAAAUGGCAAAUCAUAAAUCAUGUGCAAAUCUUGACAUAUAAAAAUGGCUCUCGGGAAACGUGGACGAGGAAUUAAAUAUAAGACUGUCAGGCUUUUGGGAUGCUUGCCAGACGUAUAAAACUCUGAUUAGCACGGGUCCAGUGGGGACUGAGAAGGAAAAAAAAAAAUACCAGCAGAAAACUUUAAAGAAGUUCACUGUAUGUGUCAAUAAUAAAGUAUAAACAAUCUACGCAAGAAAGACAUUUACAGAUAAUUCCCCCACACCAAACGUGUUCCGAAUAAAACGCGUGCAGUUCAGACACAAUAUUUAUUAUCAAACCCUGAUAGCUAACAGCACAAGAGAUACCGGGUUUGAAAGGUGAACGGGGAGUUCAGAAAACAUUAAUUUUUCAGCUGCGAUUCAAUUGAACUGUAGCAUCCAAGUGAAAUGGUUUCUUUUAUGGAUCAUGGAUCGUGUUUUCAUUAUCUCAAUAUUCUUCAUUAAAGUGGACUACGGCUGGAUUUUAAUCAAAGCCUCCACAUUCAGUGGUCAUUAGUCAUAUGUUGAACUCGUUGGACAGAAGAUGUAACUAUGUUCUGCACUACCGAACGGGCUGUCAGGAAAUUCAUUAGUUAUGAGUUGGGCAUGCAUUAGUUUUCCAUGUGUAUCCCAGUUAAAAUAUACAAUAUAUGUGAGCACAGCAUGUAGGCUGCAUAUAUUAGGUAUUUCUUACGUGGAAUUGAAGGAACGGAGAAAAGUAGAAAUUCGUAUUCUCUAUAGUUUCUACCGCAGGCUGCCAAGGAAUGCUCAGAUGUAUAAUAUAUUAAGCAGUGAUGUAUAAAAAUCACUUGCAAUGUACAUAAAAAAGGGAACUUAGCACUUCAAUAGAGAAUAAAUUACAUUUUGUAGGCAAUCAACCACUAUCAUAACCGAUGCAUUUGACCUAGUUGUUCAACAGUUUUGUUUAAAAGUUCAAAGAGCUGAUCCGUUUAAAUGCCUUUUACGGACGAUGUUGAUCUGUCAGCUUUGACACCCAAUGUAAUGCCUCAGAUAUAAACCCCACCCACCCUAGUGAUUCUGUGUAUGCAUACUGUGUUGCACAGGAGGUGCAUGUGCAACACCCAACGGACAUCCUAAGCUGUUUCCUAGUGAAAACCACCAAGGCAGUUGCGACAUCACAGGAAAUGCAAGUUUAAAGGACAAACACAGUCAAGAUUUUUCUACUGCAUGGUAAUAAGGUGUUUUUUUGUUGUCUUCUAAAAAAAAUAUAAACAGAAAAAGCAAGCAUUGCCUUAUAUUUAAUUCUCAUCUUCACUUCAAAUGUCCUUCCAUCAGGGUUCUUCUGUCUACUUGCUUCAUGAAACAAGCAGGGGUCCAAGCUGUAAGACAUGAGCUCAGGCUGCAUUGGGUCACUCAAAGUACACGUUUUCUAUGUUCUUAGCUUGCAAUGAUCUCUGUCACGUUAGACUUCUGUCUUAGGACACCGACAUACAGAGAUUGUGUGGGAAAAAACAACAAAAAGCUAGAUUUCUCUUAUACAUUAAACAAAAUACGAUUCACAAAAAAAAUAAUAAAAAUGUUGAAGGUGGUCACAUUUUUUUUGGUGAGCCGAUGUACCCAAUAUACCAGUAAAGAAAAUAACUUUAUGCAGCAUUUAUCUUUAUGAAGGUGGAAUGAUUCUCUGAUGUAAGUGGAUUUACUGCACUAUAAACAAUGUAUCGAGAAUUAAGCUGCUCAGGCAGUAAGUCAAGCUAUGUUUCAAUAUGAUUGUAAUCUUUCUUUGCCUGUUGUAGGCAACAAUGGUAAAUAGUCACUCCUACCAUUUGUCUUCACUUGGUGCCCUGACUAAAAUCCCUCCAAGCAUAAAAAUCCUUAUACAUGGGGGUCAGGUUUAAAUCUGACAUGCCUAGUGUCAAGAAUUAAAGGUCAACUCAUCAAAUUCACACUUCUUUUUUCUUAUGUUAAUUACAUUUAGUGAAACUUAAAGAGAUUUAUAAAAAAAAACAAAAAAACAAUAUAUAUAUAUAUAUGUAUCUAUCUCAAUAUGCUUCAUUAAGUGGACUAUAGCGCUGGAUUUUAAUCAAGUAUUCGGUCUAUCAAGAACCUGACCCUUAAUCUCCUCAGCCAGAUAAAGUUAAUUAAAAAAAAAAUAAAAGCAAUAUACAAUAAUUAUAAAAUAAAAAAUAAUAAUAUAUUAACUUGUAUUAAAGCGGCUCUGUCAUCCUAUACUUUGCUUACUUCAAGCUGCUCCUCUUCUCUCUUUCUUCUGUUCUUUUGUUUUUUUUUAAAUCUAUUUCUCCUAAAACACGUAGGACAAAAUAGGGACUACUUUGCCUUAUGUAUUUUUACACCGCUUGACAAAACUUGAUAGUCCUCACUGCUGUCUCUCACACAUGUGAGACUAGAACGUGGACAUGGGCUUGUGGCAGACAAAGGGGAAAAGCAGGAAGACCAUAGCGGUGACCGCGAGGAACAGGUUCAGGUAAGAAAAACCCACCUGCCCUGCACCCUGCGAUACCUGUAAACCAAAUCACCAUUGGAAAUUAUGCAAAGACUCCAGAAGGUGUCAAGGCUGCUUUAAUGUAAAACUUUAUUAUAUAUAAAAAAAAGAAGUGAAAGUGUGAUGACCAUUGUCCUUUAACUACGCAGGGUCGUAGUGGUACAACAACUGAGGAGACACAAACCUUUCAUACACUGAACAUGAGAAUGGCUGCUAUUAAGGCUGAGGGGAUGAUAGUAAGGGUGAGGAGGGCUGAGAUUAUAACAGUAUUCUGUAGUCCAUCUGGAGAACUCUGGGAUAAAUUUACAGGAUUUUACGAGCAAAGCGUUCCAGGAGGUUGAGGUUAUUUUUCCUAGUUUUAUCCUACUUUCAGGCUUAUUACUUAACCAAUGAAUAGACAAUGUCAUAGAGGUCAAUAUUUGUUAAAUAUAGAAUUGCGUGAACAGUGAAAGUUAAAAACUACAGCUGCACUUCUAUCAGGACCAGCAACAUAGUGGAAAAAUAAGAACACUACAGGUCAGUCACCAAUAGUUACUACAAAACAAAAAUCAUGAGAAUUUACAUUUCAAAACCCUCUGCGUUCUAUAUCACAGUAGGGGUGAAUAUGCUUAGUUUAGACCUUCAGGCUAAAUAGCCUUCUUGCUUUUACCACCAGAAUUCAGGGCUCAUUAGAAGGAAAGGUAUUUAAACGAUCAGAAAAACUGCAAAGUGCAAACUAAUGUUUCAACUCCAAAGGAAAUAAAAAAAAUAAAAUAAAAAAAACUCGUCUUAAAAUGUCUGUUUGAAGAAGUAAAACUCAGAGCAAUCCGGUAUUCACAUAAAAAUAUAAAUAGGCUUCAUAAAGUUGUAGUGGGGGGGGCGGGGGGGAGAAGCUACGGUCAUUGUAAAAGGAUCCAAUGUGACCCCCAUCUUUAAUAAGUUCCUUAACCAAAUGAAAGCGAAAAUGGUGAUUUAACAGAAAAGAUACAUGGCUAUAUCCUUUAUGAUAUGGUUUGUUCUUGAUACAGAAGCAGGUAAAUAAAUUCUUUCAUUUUUAAAUAUGAAUAUCAAUCCUGGAACAAAU
rnacentral:lncRNA from 1 species